CCCCCUCCCCGGUCCCUUAGCGUCGCUGGCAUUGCUUAGCCUGGGGGCUCAGGGCUCCCGGGUGGCUCCGGCGGCCGCGGGAAAGAGAAGUCGUUUGUAGCCACUCCAGAUUCUGCCUCUGCGCCGGCCUCGGGGGAGCUGGCUGUCUAGGGUCCUCACCGGAAGCGGGUAGCCGCCGCGGUGAACGACCGCCCCCACGCACUACAGUUCCCAGCAUGCCGUUCGAGCACACCUGAAGGCGGAGCCUAUGGGAUCCUCCUCUCCGAUUGGCUACCUCGAGUGUGGCUUGAAAAGCCGCCGACAGUUGUGCGGCUGAGCCUCCGGAGUGGGGUUCUGUAAAUAGCUCGUGUCCAAGCGUUGCAGGGUCUCCUCCGGCCCAGGCGGCCCUAGAACUGACUGUGUUGCUGGGAUGGCCUUGAACUCGUGAUCUUCCGGCCCGCGCUUCUUACCUGCUGGGAUUGGGGAUACGUGACCCCCGACUGGGUUUAUCUGACUACAGUCCCUUGAGAUGGGAGUCAUAAUCCCCGUUUUAGAACCGAAUCAGAGAUUCAGAAAGGCUAAUCAAUCAUGUUCUCUGACUCUCCACUUCACCCCUGGGAGAAAGAAUUGAGGGUUGAGAGGGAAGGCUCCUGGAAGGUCUCUAGCCAGCCAGAGCAUGGCAAACAUGGCUCUGGCAGACCUUACCCUUCUCCCCAUGCCCUCUGUCCUGCUAAAAAACAAUUAGAUUACAUUCCUAAAGCUAGUCACCAAGGUUUAUUUUCUUUUUGGGGGCCAUUUCCUCCUCCUGAGGCUGACUACCAAGGUCCAGCUACCAAAGUAUUGAAGUCCAGUAAUCUAAAGCCCCCCUUUGGCUCACCUAAUUAACAUGGCAGUUAUGUAGCAUCACAUCUGGCCAAGCUUCCCUUUGAAACUGCAGCGUCUGAAGGAGUUGGCCCGUCCUAUCGCUGACCAAUGGCAUCACCAGUGUCCAGGCAGGCACUCUUUCCUCAAGGAGCAUCUGGGACUUUGCUAUACCUGCCUUCCUCCAAGAGGUCUGAUGAAGGAUCUGGUUACCCAGCCUUUGGAAAUUCUGAUGUGUUCUUGUUUAAAAAAACACAAAACCAACCAAUAAAACUUAUUAUUUGGGGA